CCUACGGGUGGCAGCAGUGAGGAAUAUUGGUCAAUGGCCGGAAGGCUGAACCAGCCAUGCCGCGUGAAGGGCAGGGCCCUAGGGGCGUUAAACUUCUUUUGUGCGGGAGCAAGAAUGGUCACGUGUGGCCAGACGAGAGUACCGUAGGAAUAAGCAGCGGCGAACUCCGUGCCAGCAGCCGCGGUAAUACGGGGGAUGCAAGCGUUCUCCGGAUUUCUUGGGUUUAAAGGGUGCGUAGGCUGUGAGGUAAGGCAGCGGUGAAAUGCCCCCGCUCAACUGGGUGAAGUGCCAUUGAUACUGCCUUGCUGGACUGCGGAUGCCGUGGGAGGACUGUGUGGUGUAGCGG
rnacentral:rRNA from 1 species